rnacentral:misc_RNA from 1 species
AGAACCUCAGUUACUAUGACUAUAAAAAUCUCAUUUCCAUGAUAAAAACUCCCCAUUUGUCAGUUUUAAUUUUUUUUUAAUUUAUUUAACUAAACUGAAGUUAAGACUCCACAGAAGACAACUCCAAUUAAUUUAACUUUUCACUUACACAAAUAAACAAACCCAUAUCCCAGAAGGACACACAUUACAAUAACUGUUACCUUCUUAUCAUCAAGAAGUUAAAUCUACACAUCUAAUGAAAGAGGUAACUGAAGAUUUCUUUUCUUUUACUUUUUUCUGCAUGUGCUAAAGUUGCUGAUUCUUCUCUUUACUCAGCUUCAAGCCAUAAUCGUUCCACAAGUGGUCUCCUCCAUUUAUUGGAUGUUGAUUAAAGCAGCCUCCUACUCACACAAGAAUUUGAUGAAGGUGAGUUCAAGGUCUCAAGUUUGGCCAUUUCUUGGUCAUUAUAGGGAUCAAGUGGGUGGAAAUAAUUGCUGGUUCUCAAAUCCUCUUUACGCUUCUUGUUACACUCUGUUGCUGUCAUGUUAAAAUAGAUGUUCAUAUUCCCCCAUUUCUGUUUACACUCAUCCACACUCCUGCCAUACCCCAAGCUAUGCAUUUUUGCUGCUAUCUCCUCCCACAGACCUGCUUUUGAAUGCCCACUUUCUAGGAAUCUUGGGUCCACGCUUGUUAUGAUUUGUAUUAAGCUAAAAAUCUCUGGCUCCGUCCAUCUCAUGGUAUUCAUCUCAUCAAUGCCAUUCUUUUUAGCAUGUCGAUCCUGGUUUCUGUAGUGGCUUUGAGUUGCUAUGGCUAUUUGCUCAUCAACUGAAGUUGAUGAUGGCAGCAGUAGUUCUAAUCCUUUCCCUGCAUGUUUCUUCAAAGCCUCCAUUAAAGCAGCAUCUCUAGCUUCAAUCCAUGCCCUUUCUUUAGCCCAGAAUUCAUGUAUCCGAUCUAAACGAGCCACUUCUUGCUUCGUCCACUCUUCCUCUUUGCACAUUCUCUCUUGUUCUCUAUCUUCAAUGGUCUUUAAAAUUCUCUCCAUCCAAACUUCUUGUCUUUCCAACAACUUCCUCAUCUGCAAGUCUACAAAUUCCUUAACCUUGGUUUUCCAAUUCUUCUUAGCCCUCGUAUAGCUUUGGCUUUCAGUUAACCCUUUCUGUUUCUCAAUCGAUCUGUUCAUCAUGUAGGCAAUAGCAGAAAGAUCAUCAUCAUUGUUCUCUGAAGAAGAAGUCUCGAAUUCCGAUGUGUUAGAGAAACUUAGACUCUGAUCACUGUGCUUGUUUUCUUGCAAGCCUUCUUGAUUUUCUUGGUUAAUUGUGAGGCUUGUUGGUGUUUGGUAAAGAAAAGAAGUGGAAUUAUUAAUUAAAUGGGUUUCUGAAGCUGAAGUUUGAUUAUUGCUUGUUUCUCCAUAAAGAGCUUCAAGCUGGCGAAAGAACCUGUAAUGCUUCCCAUCUUGUCUUCCAGCUUUACCUUCCUUAGUUUUCUUGUAGUACUUGUACAAGUUCUCAAACUUCUCUCUACAUUUCUUCCCACUUCUCUGGUAACCAUGUUCCUCAGCCAUGAUUCUAGAAACCUCAUCCCAUAGUGGACCCUUUUGAUUAGCCUCCUUGAACCUGGAAUCAAGCCUAGAUCUGAUCUCAAGAAGAGUAAGAGUCUCUUGCCUCGGCCAUCUACUAUAAUUCCCAGCAUCAUUUCCAAUCCACCCAUUCUCCAUUUCCACUCCAAAGAAUGAACCUGCAGCACCUGAACUGGCAGCAUCUAUAGCUAUAGUAGUAGUAGUAGUAGUAGAAGGAAUUGUACUGGCAUUGGUGCAAUAAUGGUCAUGAUGAGCAAGCUGGACAAAGCCAGAAGGCAGCAUUACCUCAGCACCAGAAUGAGCUGCUGCUGCUAUGAUGGAGUCAUGAUGAAAGUGGUGGAUUUGUGGUCCAUGAGUCCUGGUUUGAAGAAAGAAGGGUUCAGUAGCAAGUGGGAUUCCCUGGAAAUGGGUUCUUCCGGCCACCAGUUGCCGGAGAUCCGGCACACCGUACUGGUGGUCAGCCAUUCGAGAGAGAGCGAGAUUGAGAUUCAAUGGUUUUAUGAGCUUAAAAAUUAAAUUAAAUAAAAAAAGAGCGAGAUAUCGGAGAGACAAAUUUGGAACGUAGUCCUGGGGAGACAGGAUCCGAGUCUACCGCAACUUUCAUCACUCUUUCAUCACUACAACUUCAAUUCUCUCUUUCCUCUUU